rnacentral:rRNA from 1 species
UGUGAAAUUGUUGAAAGGGAAGCGAAUAAGGUCAGUGGUGUGUGUACAUAUAUUAAGGCAGUUUCGGCUGCUGACCGUAUGUGCAUGCGUGUCAACAUGAGUUCAUCUCGUGGGAAAUGCCUGGAUGAUAGAACGUGGGCUUGCUCACCUUCAUCUUUGUGUACCAUGGGGUGGACUGAGGAUAAUGAAUGUAAGUUCGGCUCCGGCUCUGUUACAUCAUGAUGUUGACGAAAUGGCCUUAUUCGGCCCGUCUUGAAACACGGACCAAGGAGUC